GGAGAGGAAAGUGGAAUUCCUAGUGUAGCGGUGAAAUGCGUAGAUAUUAGGAGGAACACCGGUGGCGAAGGCGACUUUCUGGACAAUAACUGACGUUGAGGCACGAAAGUGUGGGGAGCAAACAGGAUUAGAUACCCUGGUAGUCCACACCGUAAACGAUGGAUACUAGGUGUAGGAAAUGAUUUCAUUUUCUGUGCCGUCGCAAACGCAAUAAGUAUCCCACCUGGGGAGUACGGCCGCAAGGUUGAAACUCAAAGGAAUUGACGGGGGCCCGCACAAGCAGUGGAGUAUGUGGUUUAAUUCGAAGCAACGCGAAGAACCUUACCAGGGCUUGACAUAUAGAUGAAUAACUAAGAGAUUAGUUAGUCCUUCGGGACAUCUAUACAGGUGGUGCAUGGUUGUCGUCAGCUCGUGUCGUGAGAUGUUAGGUUAAGUCCUGCAACGAGCGCAACCCCUGUGAUUAGUUGCCAACAGGUUAAGCUGGGAACUCUAAUCAGACUGCCGGUGAUAAAUCGGAGGAAGGUGGGGAUGACGUCAAAUCAUCAUGCCCUUUAUGUCCUGGGCUACACACGUACUACAAUGGCUGUAACAGAGAGAAGCAACACCGCGAGGUAGAGCGAAACUCCAAAAGCAGUCUCAGUUCGGAUUGAAGGCUGAAAUUCGCCUUCAUGAAGCCGGAAUUGCUAGUAAUGGCAGGUCAGCAUACUGCCGUGAAUACGUUCCCGGGCCUUGUACACACCGCCCGUCACACCAUGAGAGUUGGGAAUACCCGAA
rnacentral:rRNA from 1 species